rnacentral:lncRNA from 1 species
GUUAGAUUAUACUAUUCAACCAACCACUCGCUCAACCCUAGGGGGCUCAGUAUCAAUCUAACCGUAACCACUCUCAUCCUAACGGCACAUUUUUUAAUCCGAACGGUCGAAAAGUUAUCAGUACAAAGGACACUAUACUCAUAUGAGUAUAGAGUCCUUUGUACUGAUAACUUUUCGACCGUUCGGAUUAAAAAAUGUGCCGUUAGGAUGAGAGUGGUUACGGUUAGAUUGAUACUGAGCCCCCUAGGGUUGAGCGAGUGGUUGGUUGAAUAGUAUAAUCUAACGAGUGAAAAUGAUUAAAAGGUAGAUCAAACGGCCAAAACUUAUGAGUACAAGAGGCUCUAUACUCAUAAGAGUAUAGUAGCCGAACUCUAUAUAUGAACUAGGCUAAUAUACUAUUAAUAGCACAAGUCAUUGGUGCUACCAAGUUUUUGGCCAUUAGAUUAAGAGAUGUGCGGUUAAGAUGGUGUGGGCUCUCUAGGGUUGAAUGGGUGGUUGGUUGAAUAGUAUGAUCUAACGGGUGAAAAUGAUCAAAAGGGUAGAUCUAACGGCGGAAAACUUGGUAACACCAAAUGCUUCGUGCUAUUAAUAGCAUAGCAGCCGGACUCCUCUAUAUAUAUAUAUAUAGAAUUAGGCUGGAAUACUAUUAGUAGUAAAACGCUUUUUUUGCUAUCAAGUUUUUAACCCUUGGAUGAAAAAUUGUAGGGUUAGGAUGAUAUUAGUCAGUUAGAGUUGAGUGGUCCCCCUAGGGUUG